UGGGACACCGGGGCGGAAGGUGCUGUAGUUACCACCCAUGGUUCCUAUCGACCCUCCCAAGACCUGCCCACCUCAGCAAGAGAUUCCUGAUCCAUGAACCCUGUAAUCGUGUGCUGCUUGUAAGCAAGAGAUGGUGGCCUUCAUAAUUACACCUGCUGUCACCCUGUCCCGCCUUGAGGAAAGCUCAAUUCAUAAGUCCUGACCAGGUUCCAAAACCACAAGAGAAUAGUUUUUACGAAUUAAAACAUCUCUUCCCCA